GGCCCUGUAGUUGAAAAACAACACUGAUUUGCAGCUUCAGAAGUGUACGCCUUACCGAGGCCU
rnacentral:tRNA from 1 species